rnacentral:rRNA from 1 species
AUACGUAGGGUGCGAGCGUUGUCCGGAAUUACUGGGCGUAAAGAGCUCGUAGGUGGUUUGUCGCGUCGUCUGUGAAAUUCCGGGGCUUAACUCCGGGCGUGCAGGCGAUACGGGCAUAACUUGAGUACUGUAGGGGAGACUGGAAUUCCUGGUGUAGCGGUGAAAUGCGCAGAUAUCAGGAGGAACACCGGUGGCGAAGGCGGGUCUCUGGGCAGUAACUGACGCUGAGGAGCGAAAGCAUGGGUAGCGAACAGGAUUAGAUACCCUGGUAGUCCAUGCCGUAAACGGUGGGCGCUAGGUGUAGGGGUCUUCCACGACUUCUGUGCCGUAGCUAACGCAUUAAGCGCUCCGCCUGGGGAGUACGGCCGCAAGGCUAAAACUCAAAGGAAUUGACGGGG